GCGCCGGUGGUUCAGUGGUAGAAUACUCGCCUGCCACGCGGGUGACCCGGGUUCGAUUCCCGGCCGACGCA
rnacentral:tRNA from 1 species